rnacentral:rRNA from 1 species
GACGAACGCUGGCGGCGUGCUUAACACAUGCAAGUCGAACGGAAAGGCCCUGCUUUUGUGGGGUGCUCGAGUGGCGAACGGGUGAGUAACACGUGAGUAACCUGCCCUUGACUUUGGGAUAACUUCAGGAAACUGGGGCUAAUACCGGAUAGGAGCUCCUGCUGCAUGGUGGGGGUUGGAAAGUUUCGGCGGUUGGGGAUGGACUCGCGGCUUAUCAGCUUGUUGGUGGGGUAGUGGCUUACCAAGGCUUUGACGGGUAGCCGGCCUGAGAGGGUGACCGGCCACAUUGGGACUGAGAUACGGCCCAGACUCCUACGGGAGGCAGCAGUGGGGAAUAUUGCACAAUGGGCGGAAGCCUGAUGCAGCAACGCCGCGUGCGGGAUGACGGCCUUCGGGUUGUAAACCGCUUUCGCCUGUGACGAAGCGUGAGUGACGGUAAUGGGUAAAGAAGCACCGGCUAACUACGUGCCAGCAGCCGCGGUGAUACGUAGGGUGCGAGCGUUGUCCGGAUUUAUUGGGCGUAAAGGGCUCGUAGGUGGUUGAUCGCGUCGGAAGUGUAAUCUUGGGGCUUAACCCUGAGCGUGCUUUCGAUACGGGUUGACUUGAGGAAGGUAGGGGAGAAUGGAAUUCCUGGUGGAGCGGUGGAAUGCGCAGAUAUCAGGAGGAACACCAGUGGCGAAGGCGGUUCUCUGGGCCUUUCCUGACGCUGAGGAGCGAAAGCGUGGGGAGCGAACAGGCUUAGAUACCCUGGUAGUCCACGCUGUAAACGGUGGGUACUAGGUGUGGGGUCCAUUCCACGGGUUCCGUGCCGUAGCUAACGCUUUAAGUACCCCGCCUGGGGAGUACGGCCGCAAGGCUAAAACUCAAAGGAAUUGACGGGGCCCCGCACAAGCGGCGGAGCAUGCGGAUUAAUUCGAUGCAACGCGUAGAACCUUACCUGGGUUUGACAUGGAUCGGGAGUGCUCAGAGAUGGGUGUGCCUCUUUUGGGGUCGGUUCACAGGUGGUGCAUGGCUGUCGUCAGCUCGUGUCGUGAGAUGUUGGGUUAAGUCCCGCAACGAGCGCAACCCUUGUUCACUGUUGCCAGCACGUUAUGGUGGGGACUCAGUGGAGACCGCCGGGGUCAACUCGGAGGAAGGUGGGGAUGACGUCAAGUCAUCAUGCCCCUUAUGUCCAGGGCUUCACGCAUGCUACAAUGGCUGGUACAGAGAGUGGCGAGCCUGUGAGGGUGAGCGAAUCUCGGAAAGCCUGUCUCACUUCGGAUUGGGGUCUGCAACUCGACCUCAUGAAGUCGGAGUCGCUAGUAAUCGCAGAUCAGCAACGCUCCUUUUAAGGCGUUCCCGGGGCU